rnacentral:lncRNA from 1 species
AGUGCACAUAAAAUGGAAAAUGCUUUUUAUACCACUAUUUCCAGCAGGGAUUUUAUUUUCAUUUGUCAUUUGCCAGCCUGGGGUAUGUUGGGAGAAGGAACAAUUGAUUUUUGAAAAGGUGCAUUUGUGUGAAAACCAAAAAUUGUGUUCAACAAAUACUACUACUAACCCAUAUGUGGAUAUAUGUGUUUUAUACAUGAGUAAAAAAAAAAAAAAAAACAUACAUAUAUGUAUGGCAUAUAUAUAUAUAUAUAUAUAUAUAUAUAUGCUAUAGAAAUGCCAUCAAGUUACCAGUUUACUUCUAAAUGUAACUGCUUAAUAUAAAAUAUGCAUCUUUUUGUAGUACCUAAUUCUUGCAAUUCAGUGUAUUUCCUGGCGAGAGGCAGAGAUGAACAACCCUGGACAGUUACCACAUAUGGCUCUUAUGAGAUUCAUCCCACUUCUGAGGUCAGACAUCACAUCUUUUCACUACAUGCCUCUCUUUGGGAGGUUUCUUUCUUGCUAAUCCAAACAAGAACAUCUGCACAAUUGUCAACCUGGAAUUUACUUUAUUAAUCUCCUGGUUUGGAAACACUUUUUCUUGGAUGUUAUAUUUACUUUGGUUUACUAUUUUGUUGGCUUGCACUAAUUUUAUAUGAUUUCUUAAUAAUGAGUGUAUGUUAGACAUUUUACUUGAGUCUUUUCAUAUCACAGUAUGCCUUUAUUUUACCCUCAUAUAUAAUUAAUUUUCAUCUGGGCAUAUAUUUCCAGAUUAGAAAUCAUUUCUUUUCAUACAUUUUAAGGAAUUUAUACAUUUGCAUCUGAAAUUGUAUUCAUUAUCUUCUAGAAACCAAGAGUGGACUUGGUAUCCGUCUGAUUAUAUUUUCUUUGUUGGUAAAGAGCCUCUUUUUUCCCUUUUUAUUUUCAUCUUCUCUUUCUCUAGUGUUUAUAAUCUUAUUUUUAUGAAUGUAGUCUAAUUAUUUAGAACACUGUCUCCGAGUAUGUGUUUAUUUGGGUUUGUGUUUUGAACAUUGCCUCCAGGUGCGAGUUUAUGUGUGUUUAUGUUUCCUAUUUGAGGUUGGACACUUAGAAAAUUUUCUCAAUUCGAAAACUAUUUUCCUUCAGCACUCAGAAAUUUUUAUCAAUGAUUAUUUCCACGAUUAUUUCCUGUCCUUGGUUUUUCGUGUUCUUAACCUAGAAUUCAAUUGUUUAAUGUUAGACCUUACACAUCUUCAAUGUAUCAUAUAUAUUUCACUCAUAUUAUUUAUUGUCAUAUCUUUUGGACUAUUGUGUGAAAGCAAUAAAUGUAUAUUACUUUAUUUAUUGGUAAUGCUCUUCAUUUUCAAAUUUAAUACACACAAAUUGUGCAUACCCACACACAUAUACCACAGAUAUAUUCAUUUUCAGGAUUUCUUUAAGUGUUAUUUUAAAAAUAAUCAUAUUCUUAUUUUGUGAACUGUGGGAUUUCUUGAAACUUUUUGAAAAC